AUGUGUGUUCCUAAAGGUCAAGGAGGAAUGAGAUUCCGAGAUAUACACUGUUUCAAUUUGGCAUUGUUAGCUAAACAAGCUUGGCGUUUCCUGGAUAAUUCAGACUCACUAUGUGCUACAAUAUUAAGAUCCAAGUAUUUUCCGGAGGGCGAAUUAAUGAACACAAGCUUAAAAAAUGGUUCCUCCUUCACAUGGCAAAGCAUUAUGGCGGGAGUGGAAUCUCUUAGAAAUGGUUAUAUACGGAGAGUUGGAAAUGGACAAAAUAUUGACAUAUGGAGAGAUGCAUGGAUCCCGAAUUGUGCAAAUAGGAGAAUUAUUACUGCUAGACAAGGGAAUCUAAUGACGAGAGUUUCUGACCUUAUUGAUCCAGUCACAAAUGGUUGGGAUGAAGGUUUGGUGAGGCAAAUAUUGUGGCCAAUUGAUGCUCAAAGAGUCCUAGGGAUCCCUGAAGGAAAUAUUCCCUAG
rnacentral:rRNA from 1 species